GGGUUGUGAGGUUAAGCGACUAAGCGUACACGGUGGAUGCCCUGGCAGUCAGAGGCGAUGAAGGGCGUGCUAAUCUGCGAUAAGCGCCGGUAAGGUGAUAUGAACCGUUAUAACCGGCGAUACCCGAAUGGGGAAACCCAGUGUGACUCGUCACACUAUCAUUAACUGAAUCCAUAGGUUAAUGAGGCGAACCGGGGGAACUGAAACAUCUAAGUACCCCGAGGAAAAGAAAUCAACCGAGAUUCCCCCAGUAGCGGCGAGCGAACGGGGAGGAGCCCAGAGCCUGAAUCAGCAUGUGUGUUAGUGGAAGCGUCUGGAAAGGCGCGCGAUACAGGGUGACAGCCCCGUACACAAAAGCGCAUGUGCUGUGAGCUCGAUGAGUAGGGCGGGACACGUGGUAUCCUGUCUGAAUAUGGGGGGACCAUCCUCCAAGGCUAAAUACUCCUGACUGACCGAUAGUGAACCAGUACCGUGAGGGAAAGGCGAAAAGAACCCCGGCGAGGGGAGUGAAAAAGAACCUGAAACCGUGUACGUACAAGCAGUGGGAGCACAGGUUUACCUGUGUGACUGCGUACCUUUUGUAUAAUGGGUCAGCGACUUAUAUUCUGUAGCAAGGUUAACCGAAUAGGGGAGCCGGAGGGAAACCGAG
rnacentral:rRNA from 1 species